UACGAAGGGGGCUAGCGUUGUUCGGAAUUACUGGGCGUAAAGCGCACGUAGGCGGAUAUUUAAGUCAGGGGUGAAAUCCCAGAGCUCAACUCUGGAACUGCCUUUGAUACUGGGUAUCUCGAGUAUGGAAGAGGUGAGUGGAAUUCCGAGUGUAGAGGUGAAAUCCGUAGAUAUUAGGAAGAACACCAGUGGCGAAGGCGGCUCACUGGCCCGGUACUGACGCUGAGGCGCGAAAGCGUGGGGAGCAAACAGG
rnacentral:rRNA from 1 species